rfam:Schistosoma mattheei strain Denwood, Zambia genome assembly, scaffold: SMTD_scaffold0026287
AUCUAGCUGACGAGUUCUAAAUAGGAUGAAAUGCACAUCAAACUAGAU